rnacentral:rRNA from 1 species
AUGAACGCUAGCUACAGGCUUAACACAUGCAAGUCGAGGGGCAGCAUUUUAGUUUGCUUGCAAACUAAAGAUGGCGACCGGCGCACGGGUGAGUAACACGUAUCCAACCUGCCGAUAACUCGGGGAUAGCCUUUCGAAAGAAAGAUUAAUAUCCGAUAGUAUAUUAAAACCGCAUGGUUUUACUAUUAAAGAAUUUCGGUUAUCGAUGGGGAUGCGUUCCAUUAGUUUGUUGGCGGGGUAACGGCCCACCAAGACUACGAUGGAUAGGGGUUCUGAGAGGAAGGUCCCCCACAUUGGAACUGAGACACGGUCCAAACUCCUACGGGAGGCAGCAGUGAGGAAUAUUGGUCAAUGGACGAGAGUCUGAACCAGCCAAGUAGCGUGAAGGAUGACUGCCCUAUGGGUUGUAAACUUCUUUUAUAUGGGAAUAAAGUAUUCCACGUGUGGGAUUUUGUAUGUACCAUAUGAAUAAGGAUCGGCUAACUCCGUGCCAGCAGCCGCGGUAAUACGGAGGAUCCGAGCGUUAUCCGGAUUUAUUGGGUUUAAAGGGAGCGUAGGUGGAUUGUUAAGUCAGUUGUGAAAGUUUGCGGCUCAACCGUAAAAUUGCAGUUGAAACUGGCAGUCUUGAGUACAGUAGAGGUGGGCGGAAUUCGUGGUGUAGCGGUGAAAUGCUUAGAUAUCACGAAGAACUCCGAUUGCGAAGGCAGCUCACUAGACUGCAACUGACACUGAUGCUCGAAAGUGUGGGUAUCAAACAGGAUUAGAUACCCUGGUAGUCCACACAGUAAACGAUGAAUACUCGCUGUUUGCGAUAUACAGUAAGCGGCCAAGCGAAAGCAUUAAGUAUUCCACCUGGGGAGUACGCCGGCAACGGUGAAACUCAAAGGAAUUGACGGGGGCCCGCACAAGCGGAGGAACAUGUGGUUUAAUUCGAUGAUACGCGAGGAACCUUACCCGGGCUUAAAUUGCAUUUGAGUAAUCUGGAAACAGGUUAGCCGCAAGGCAAAUGUGAAGGUGCUGCAUGGUUGUCGUCAGCUCGUGCCGUGAGGUGUCGGCUUAAGUGCCAUAACGAGCGCAACCCUUAUCUUUAGUUACUAACAGGUUAUGCUGAGGACUCUAGAGAGACUGCCGUCGUAAGAUGUGAGGAAGGUGGGGAUGACGUCAAAUCAGCACGGCCCUUACGUCCGGGGCUACACACGUGUUACAAUGGGGGGUACAGAAGGCAGCUACCUGGCGACAGGAUGCUAAUCCCAAAAACCUCUCUCAGUUCGGAUCGAAGUCUGCAACCCGACUUCGUGAAGCUGGAUUCGCUAGUAAUCGCGCAUCAGCCAUGGCGCGGUGAAUACGUUCCCGGGCCUUGUACACACCGCCCGUCAAGCCAUGAAAGCCGGGGGUACCUGAAGUACGUAACCGCAAGGAGCGUCCUAGGGUAAAACUGGUAAUUGGGGCU